GAUGAACGCUGGCGGCGUGCCUAAUACAUGCAAGUCGAGCGAACAGACGAGGAGCUUGCUCCUCUGACGUUAGCGGCGGACGGGUGAGUAACACGUGGAUAACCUACCUAUAAGACUGGGAUAACUUCGGGAAACCGGAGCUAAUACCGGAUAAUAUAUUGAACCGCAUGGUUCAAUAGUGAAAGACGGUUUUGCUGUCACUUAUAGAUGGAUCCGCGCCGCAUUAGCUAGUUGGUAAGGUAACGGCUUACCAAGGCAACGAUGCGUAGCCGACCUGAGAGGGUGAUCGGCCACACUGGAACUGAGGCACGGUCCAGACUCCUACGGGAGGCAGCAGUAGGGAAUCUUCCGCAAUGGGCGAAAGCCUGACGGAGCAACGCCGCGUGAGUGAUGAAGGUCCUCGGAUCGUAAAACUCUGUUAUUAGGGAAGAACAAAUGUGUAAGUAACUAUGCACGUCUUGACGGUACCUAAUCAGAAAGCCACGGCUAACUACGUG
rnacentral:rRNA from 1 species